rnacentral:rRNA from 1 species
GAUGAACGCUGGCGGCGUGCCUAAUACAUGCAAGUAGAACGCUGAAGAGAGGAGCUUGCUCUUCUUGGAUGAGUUGCGAACGGGUGAGUAACGCGUAGGUAACCUGCCUUGUAGCGGGGGAUAACUACUGGAAACGAUAGCUAAUACCGCAUAACAAUUGAUGACACAUGUCUCUUAUUUGAAAGGGGCAAUUGCUCCACUACAAGAUGGACCUGCGUUGUAUUAGCUAGUAGGUGAGGUAAUGGCUCACCCAGGCGACGAUACAUAGCCGACCUGAAAGGGUGAUCGGCCACACCGGGACUUGGACACGGCCCAGAAUCCUACCGGAGGCCGCCAUUAGGGAUCCUCGGGAAUGGGGGCAACCCCGACCGGGCCACGCCGCGUGAGUGAAGAAGGUUUUCGGAUCGUAAAGCUCUGUUGUAAGUCAAGGACGGUAGUGAGAGUGAAAAGUUCACACUGUGACGGUAGCUUACCAGAAAGGGACGGCUAACUACGUG